CGGAGAAAGUUGAACAAGAAACCCAGUAGUACCAAGUUCCUGAGAAAAAGAUAAAAAUGAGGGAAAUUGUACAUCUCCAAGCUGGUCAGUGCGGAAACCAAAUAGGAGCUAAGUUUUGGGAAGUUAUCUCAGACGAGCACGGUAUCGAACCUACAGGAACCUACAUGGAGAUUCAGAUUUACAAUUAGAAAGAAUCAACGUAUACUACAAUGAAGCUACAGGUGGAAAGUAUGUGCCACGUGCUGUCUUGGUUGAUUUGGAGCCCGGUACCAUGGAUUCUGUCCGAUCUUGACCAUUUGGUCAAAUUUAUAGACCAGACAACUUUGUUUUCGGACAGAGUGGUGCAGGAAACAACUGGGCCAAGGGACAUUACA